rnacentral:tRNA from 1 species
GCCAGAAUAGCUCAGUUGGUAGAGCAACCGCCUUGUAAGCGGUAGGUCACGAGUUCGAGUCUCGUUUCUGGCU